GGGCCCGCACAAGCGGAGGAACAUGUGGUUUAAUUCGAUGAUACGCGAGGAACCUUACCCGGGCUUGAAUUGCAGGUGAAUGCGAUAGAGAUAUCAAAGUCCUUCGGGACACCUGUGAAGGUGCUGCAUGGUUGUCGUCAGCUCGUGCCGUGAGGUGUCGGCUUAAGUGCCAUAACGAGCGCAACCCCUCUCUUCAGUUGCCAUCAGUUUAAGCUGGGCACUCUGGAGACACUGCCACCGUAAGGUGUGAGGAAGGUGGGGAUGACGUCAAAUCAGCACGGCCCUUACGUCCGGGGCUACACACGUGUUACAAUGGGGAGUACAGAGAGUCGGGGUCCCGCAAGGUCCCCCUAAUCAAGAAAGCUCCUCCCAGUUCGGACUGGGGUCUGCAACCCGACCCCACGAAGCUGGAUUCGCUAGUAAUCGCGCAUCAGCCAUGGCGCGGUGAAUACGUUCCCGGGCCUU
rnacentral:rRNA from 1 species